rnacentral:tRNA from 1 species
GGGUGUUUAGCUCAGCUGGGAGAGCGCCGCCCUUACAAGGCGAUGGUCGGGGGUUCAAGUCCCUCAACACCCA